UAGGGAAUCUUCCGCAAUGGACGCAAGUCUGACGGAGCAACGCCGCGUGAGUGAAGAAGGAUUUCGGUUCGUAAAACUCUGUUGUUAGAGAAGAACAGCGCAUAGAGUAACUGUUAUGCGUGUGACGGUAUCUAACCAGAAAGCCACGGCUAACUACGUGCCAGCAGCCGCGGUAAUACGUAGGUGGCAAGCGUUGUCCGGAUUUAUUGGGCGUAAAGCGAGCGCAGGCGGUCAAUUAAGUCUGAUGUGAAAGCCCCCGGCUCAACCGGGGAGGGUCAUUGGAAACUGGUUGACUUGAGUGCAGAAGAGGAGAGUGGAAUUCCAUGUGUAACGGUGAAAUGCGUAGAUAUAUGGAGGAACACCAGUGGCGAAGGCGACUCUCUGGUCUGUAACUGACGCGGAGGCUCGAAAGCGUGGGUAGCAAACAGG
rnacentral:rRNA from 1 species